rnacentral:rRNA from 1 species
AUGUACUACUCGGUGAGCAGCAAGCAGGCGCUAGAGUGGGCCGUCCGGAACCUGUUCCGUCAGGGCGACACCGUCGUCGUCCUCCACGUCCAGCGCCACGGCGGGGAGGAGGCCAAGCACGCCGUCUGGGCCAAGUCCGGAUCCCCGCUCAUCCCUCUGUCCAAGUACCGGGAGCCGGAGGUGAUGAAGAACUACGGCGUGACCUGUGACACCGAGGUGCUCGACAUGCUCGACACUGCCGCGCGCUAGCUCAAGCUGAAGGUGGUGGCGAAGGUGUACUGGGGUGACGCCAAGGAGAAGCUCUGCGACGUGUUGGAGGAGUAGAAGAUCGACACCAUCGUCAUGGGCAGCCGCGGCCUCGACACCAUCCAGAGGUACGAUACUACUCCUGUCAAAAUGUUGCUCCGGACAUGUGCGAUUCUUGGUCAUAGUUUCCCAGAGCACGAAAUCGGCGGUUGCUGCUUGCAUAAAGUAGUACGGUAUUCUUGUUCAGAUAGGCAAUCCUCACGUCAUCGGGGUUAA